AUGCAGACGAGACUCAAGCCGAUGGAUGGGACAAAAAGCGCAGCCUGCAUCCUCUCCCAGAGAAGGAGAGAAAAGCAGGACCAGACAUCACCAAAGUCUUGGGCCUCUUUUGGAGCUCCCAUGUUUAAUGGUGAUCACCUCUGGCUGGAGGACCUCAUAGGUCCCUCAUCUUACCAGUCCUUACCCAGCCAGCCAUCCAGCCCCAGUGUCCCCAGCAACAGCUCAGGAGGCAGCAGCGAGGGCACUGGCAGUUUGUACAGCUGGAGUUCAGGAGCGACCUGUAUCCUGCACAGCUCUAUCAAGAAGCAAAGCCAGGAAGCUUUUCAGACGCAACUGAGAGAGGAGAGAAGGUGGGAGAGUCUUUCAAGGGGGCCUCAUGGUGGAUCUCAUCCACAGGCGGAGCAGAGAGGAGGCAGCAACCACAACAAGCUCGAGGCAUGGACAGACAGCGGUGGGCUGGGUCAGGGGAGGGGCUCCGCAUGGACCCAUGGCAGCACUAAAAGUGUAAAACUAAAGUGUCUGCUGGAGGAAAAGGUUGAAGCCAAACUGAAGUUUUCGCAGUUUUUGGAUGAGGUGACCUCCAACGUGCUUGACCCAAACUGCCUGCAAGCAUUUGGGAAACCACUCUCGCCCUCCAGCUUCACCACUACAAUCCCAGCUCAGCCUGAAGACAAGACCGAAGAGGAGACACAGUGGAGCCCCGGGCUGCCCUGCUCAAUGGCCCGACAGCAGGCCUCUUUACUCGAGCAGAAGACAACCAAAGAAGAGCAGACUCCCCUUGACUCGGCACAGAAAACCUAUCUGGAGACAGACAUUGACAGUGUGAGGAGGGAUGAGAAGCCACAGGACCUGGAGAUAAGAGAGACACCGCCACAGCAGGAGAUAGACGAGACCCACGUGAUCCCACCUCCUCCAGAGUUCAGUCAAGGGUUUGAGAUGAAGAGUCCCUUUCCGGAGUUUCAUUGUGACUUCCCCAGAUACCCCUACAGAUCUGCCUCUCUGCCCAGGGGCAUCAACAUGGUGAGUGAUGAAAGUCAUCCCAGUCUUUAA
rnacentral:lncRNA from 1 species